GAUGAACGCUAGCGGCAGGCUUAAUACAUGCAAGUCGUGGGGCAGCAUGAAGUAGCAAUACUUUGAUGGCGACCGGCAAACGGGUGCGGAACACGUACACAACCUUCCAACAAGUGGGGGAUAGCCCAGAGAAAUUUGGAUUAAUACCCCGUAACAUAGCGAUGUGGCAUCACAUUGCUAUUAUAAAUUUUUCGCUUGUUGAUGGGUGUGCGGCUGAUUAGAUAGUUGGCGGGGUAACGGCCCACCAAGUCUACGAUCAGUAGCUGAUGUGAGAGCAUGAUCAGCCACACGGGCACUGAGACACGGGCCCAACUCCUACGGGAGGCAGCAGUAAGGAAUAUUGGACAAUGGACGCAAGUCUGAUCCAGCCAUGCCGCGUGAAGGAUUAAGGUCCUCUGGGUUGUAAACUUCUUUUAUAAGGGACGAAAAAAGGCUUUUCUAAGUCGUCUGACGGUACCUUAUGAAUAAGCACCGGCUAACUCCGUGCCAGCCGCCGCGGUAAGAC
rnacentral:rRNA from 1 species